rnacentral:lncRNA from 1 species
AUGCUGCAGAUGGCGACGAGAAGAAGCGGAGGCCCGGUUCCCAUGUUUGCUGAGCAGAGGCGUUGGAGCCCUGGAGUGAGGUCUCAGCUGUUCUCUCCACCUCACUGCACAGAGAAAACACCCCAGAGUAUCCUGUUCAGAGCCACUUCCUUACCCUACAUCCCAGUGGAUGCAGCUUCUGAAAGGAAGCAGAGUCGGCAAGGAUGGAGUGCUUUUGGGAAUCAUUCCCAGCAUGUGGAGACUGCAGUCUGCAGCAAGCAAGGGCAGCUCCCUCAGCAAGUGGAAAAUGGGCUUCACCUCCGUGCGGUCUCCCUGUGGUUUGCUUCCCUUGCGAUAUUAUUUUUGAAUAGCAGGCAGGAGCUUGGUGUCUCUUGCUCUGUUUAGUACAUCCAAUAACCAAACCUGGCCCACUUCUGGGUGGUCCUCGUGAAAUACCAGAAAACCACACAAAGGCCAUGUGAUUUAAUAGUCCUAAGAAACAGAGAAAUUGCUUUGACAGAUACCUCAAAAUCAGUUCUUCAAGAAAUGGGAUGUUUCAACCAAUGUCCAUUCCACUUGUGUUUUUUCCCCUAUUUCCUUUUCUCUUUCUUUGCCCUUAGUUCUUCAUUCUGAUAAACCAGCCUGGAAAAUGUAGAUGACUGAUGUGAUGUGUUGAUGCCUGAUUUGGUCUUAGGAUGGGGAAUGUUACACAAAAAGUCUUCCAGGUUAAAGAAUUCAGAUCCCAGUCGCUAGGCAGAGUGGAUCACUUCAGGAUCAAGAAGAAGGAGGGAUACGAAGAGCCAGCCAUGAAAGCACAGACGUAAGCAUGAUUUCCUUAUAGUUUCCUGUGUACUUUGUGGCUAGAGCUAGCACUGAUUCCAGCGCCUGCAUGUUUGUGGGCAGCUUACCUGCCCUCUCUGCCAGCAAACUGCACAGGCAUCAACAGCUGCAAUCCCAACUCAGAGCCCAGCUCUCACUUCCCCAGCCCGGCUCACUGCUUUUCUGUCCCAGUUCCUGCAUCUUCCUGUUCUCUAGAUCUGCUUUUCAGAUGUAUCAUCCAUAGAAGCUGAGCUGGUGGAGUGAGCAACACUAAAGAGAGGGAAAUAACCCACGUUCUUCUGGACCAAGCAGGACAUGGAACCAGGAGAAGAGGCUGCUUGCAAGUCAACUCUGCUGCUCUGCUCCUCAGUCCCUGGCAGAAGCAGGGCACCAGCUCGCUCAUUCCCUAACCACGCUGAAGUCAGAAGGAAAAUAAUUUUAUCUCAAUCCCCAACACAGUCCUUGCCAGCCUUUCGUGAUGUGAACUUAACUAACAUUUCUCCAUUCAAAACUUUUUUCAAUUCUAUUGCAGAUAUACACAGUAAUUUCUGGAGAGGAUAGGAACCCAAGUCUCUUCAGAAGGAAAGAACAGACUGGCCAGAGACACUGUAAUAAAUUCCUGUUCUACUAGCA